AAACGUGUUGGUGGUGCUGCGCUUAACGAGUUCCUUCGUAAUAGACUGAAUAAUAUGCAGGCUGCUAAGAUAAAAAACAGCAUGGGUAAGACCAGUUUUCACAUAAAUUGCAAACUGUUAACAGUGUAUAUGUAUCCGGCAGAGGCAGUACAUUGUCCUUAUGAUAUGUAUUAUUUUUUCACCCCUUAUUUAUACCGAAAAAAGUCCUCUUGGCAUGCUUGAUACAAACAUCAUAAGUGUGGAUUCUGCGUUGGUUGAAAGUAGACCAGGACAUUCAUAAGCCACCGGAAAAUCUCCAAAAAAAGGUUUUUGUAUUCCUUUGUAGAUGGUGUAUUUUAAAGUGUGUUUAUGUGACCAUUCAUUAUUCCAGUAUGCAUUUAGGUACAGGCCAUCGAGGUCGUGGUCCUGCUUUUGAUAACGUGUUCAGACAUAUCAACACCGGUUGUCAUUCUAACGUCAGCAAUGACAAGGAGAAUGCUCAAAUCAAUAACUCUGAUGAAAAGACAGGGCUCAAAGGCGACGUGGACGUGGACCGGGUGUUAAUAGUGUCAUUAACAAAUUAAAUCCUGCACCUGUUCAGGAGGGUGGAUCUGCUGUAGGUUAUUUACUAGAAAGACUACUACUAUAUAAUUUAUUUAAUCCACCGUAUAUGCAGCCUGAGUCCUUUCAGUCCCGUUAAUGUACUCUUACGUUGUCAAUUUUUUCAAUAGUUCCUGUAAAUGGCAGUGAAUUUAAUAACCUUUUACUUUGUUAGUGUACAUUUACAAAAGCAAUUUUUUUGGCAGGUCAUGUCAAUGUUAUAAAGCGUCGCGGUCGUGACCGUCUAUUAACAAUAUCUAAAACAAUCUUCAUUCAACACCCGAUAAUUCCAGUGGCACUUCAGCAGCUCUCCUCAAACCACUUCCAAUGUCAGAUCGGAUGUAGAAAAAUGCCAGAAACGACGCGGCCGAGUUCCCGGUUUUAAUAAUCUUUUUAACAAAGUCCAGUCUACACCUGCCAAUGUCUCCACAGCAGAUACUGGGACUCCAUCGAGUACUGUCAAGGUAGACCAUUCAGAUAGGAGGAAGCAAGACCAAGAUUCAUUAGGUCUUCGCACAAAUGCUUUUAACACGAGUACAUCCAGUUUUCAUACUCCAUUUUCAUCUUCGACGGUGACAUCACAUUUGGAAGAAUCCGAACAUUUAGACCAUCACCUGGAGCCUCAACAUCUGGUGUGAAGGAUUUACUAAAACAAUUUGACGAAGUGCUUCAGCCAACUGAUGAUGUUGGCGACAUGAUUCAAGAAUUUACAACUACUCGUAAUAAAAAAAAAUUCCUAGAAAUCAUAUGAGUUAUGGUCAAAAUGCAUCAGCAUGCCUUGAUCACCUAUUCUUACCUGCUGCAGAACAUCUACUUACCUUCCAACAUGUGGAUGGGGUAUGCAGACC